rnacentral:lncRNA from 1 species
UGAGGAUCGAACCCAGGUCCCGCCCAUGCUAGGCAAGCUCUCUAUCGCUGAGCCACAAUCCCAGCCCCCAGUUUUUCUAUUAAAAAGUGACCAAUAGUGAUCUGAUAAAAGAGGUUAAAUUAUAGUUGGAAAUUCAAAAUUUAGAGAGGCUUUCCCCAAAUAAACUCAAAAUUUUCAUAAAGUUAAAUAUGUAAUUUCUGUUACUUUUGUGUUUAAUGUUUUUCAUUUGAGUAAUCUAGCUAGAACUUUUUUUGAUGUAAGGCAUGAAAGAGAAUUUAGUUUCAUAUUUUCCACAUAGAUAUUCUCCUAUACUAUUUAACAAACAUAAUUAUACUAAUCUGAAUGUCAACUGUAUGAGAAAUUAAACCCAAUACAUUACAUCUAUUUCUGGGAUAUCAGUUCUAUUCAUACAUCUUUCUCUUCAUGUGUUGAUACCAAACUGUUGUAAUCACUAAAAUGUUUAUAGUACUUUUCAGUAUCUGUAGGACAGGUCUGCUCCUACUACUCUUUUCUUGCUUUAUUCCCAAAAUAAUGGUGUUGGUAUUUUUAUUGAGAAAGUUCUAUUCAUUGGCUUAUUUAGAGAGGAUUGCCAUUAUUUAGCACCAUCUCCAUAUCUAAGAAUAUGAUAACAUCUUACUAUUUAUAUAAGCAUUUCUUAUUUUUUUAAAUGUUUCCAAGUUUUAUUCAUGUUCACCAUGCACAUUUCUUAGGAUCUUAUCGUAUUUCUUAUUUUUUUUAAUUUUUUUUUUAAAUUUUUUUAUUGUUGGUUGUUCAAAACAUUACAAAUUUCUUGAUAUAUCAUAUUUCACACUUUGAUUCAAGUGGGUUAUGAACUCCCAUUUUUACCCCAUAUACAGAUUGCAGAAUUACUAUUACUGUAAAUUGGACAUUUUCUUCUGUUAUAUUUUCUGGGAUGAUUAUUGCUUUUAUGGAGAAAUACUGAUA